ACUGAUUCAGCGUCUCUGACUCCAGGAGCGGCGGGAAUCCUGGUCUCUCAGAGCAGCGGUUCGCGCAGGAGCGCGCGCCAGUUCAAACUGCAGCCACCUUGGUGCAUGUGUCCUGUCUAACUGGCCUCAUUCUCCCAAGCUGGGACUGACCUCUGGUAUCCGACUUGAGAAUUUUUAGUCUUCAAUUCAGUAAAAAACAUGGAUCAUUGGCCCAGGACUGGGACACACAGGGAUCAGCAGGAGCCCAGUGCAACCGCAGUUUCAGCUGAUUCAACCACUACUGUUGGCUGUAGCAGUGCCAAGGCAGAGGAAGCCAUGCAUGGUUUACAAGUUCAACCUGGGAAGCGUGUGACAGAGCAGGACCCAGAAAGGGUGUCAAAAAAAUGCAAACAUGAUGAGAGCUACAUUGAACUUAGAUUUACAUGGCCUGGGGACACUGGAUAUUCUCAGCCGCAGUGUGUUCUAUGCGGUGAAGUUUUACCAAACAACAGUCUUAAACCGUCCCUUCUUCGCCAGCAUCUAGAGACUGAACACAAUCAAUUUAAAGACAAACCGGCUCAGUUUUUCAAUCGCAAACUGGAAGAGUUAAAAAGCAGUAAAAAAAUUGCCAUAGAAUUCUUGCAAGGAAAAUGUAAGUGCACUUCGAGCUUCAUAUUUCAUGAGUUACGGAGUGGCUAAAACAGGAGAACCACACACUAUUACAGAAGAUUUCCUUAUACCUGCUAUGAAGGCCGUGGUGAAGUGCAUGCUCGGUGAAAAAGCAGAAGAAAAACUUGAUUCCAUACCCCUCUCCAAUGACACUGUGUCACGCUGCAUUGCCGAUAUGGCUGAAAAUGUUCUUUCUCAGCUUGUGAAUCGUAUUAGAAACAGUGACUAUUAUUCUUUGCAAUUAGACAAGUCCACGGAUUUAGACAGCCUAGCUAAACUUUUGGUUUAUGUCCGUUAUAUGUAUGAAAAUACCAUACAUGAAGACUUUCUCUUUUAUCAUUCCCUGCCUACCCAAACAACAGAAGAAGAGAUUUUUUUGCUGCUUGAUAACUUCAUGAGUGAGAAUAGAAUUGACUGGUCUCGCUUGUAGGGAUUUCUACUGAUGGGGCAAAAUCGAUGAUGGGAAAGCACAGUGGAGUUGUGGUUCGCCUCAAGGCUGUAGCAACAGAAGCCACAUGGGUGUACUGCAGCAUCAAUAGAGAGGCCUUAGCUACCCAAAAAAUGCCUGAAAACUUAAUGUCAGUGUUGUCUGAUGCUGUCAAAAUGGUUAACUUCAUUACGGGUCAGUGUCAAAAUUCAAGAAUUUUUGCUACCCUGUGUGAUGAAAUGGGAAAUGACCAUUUGCCACUACUAAUGCACACAGAGGUUCACUGGCUGUCGCAUGGCAAAGUGCUGACACGACUCUUUGAGCUGCACAGCAAGCUUCAAGUUUUUUUCACUGAUCACCUCCCGUUUGCACAGUCGUCUUGCUUGGAAGAUACUGCCUGGCUUCAGCGAUUAGCCUACUGGGCAGACAUUUUUUCUUGCCUCAACGAGCUCAGUUUAGGCCUUCAAGGCUUAAGCACCACUAUUUUCAAAACACAAGACAAAAUCGAAUCCAUGAUUAAGAAACUACUAUUUUGGGAUAGCUGCUUAAAGAGAAAUGAGAUUGACUCCUUUCCAACACUGCAAGAGUUUUUUGCAGCAAAUGAUAAUAUGCUGUUACAUGAGAGUGUGAAAGCUGACAUGGAGCAUUUGCAACAACUUAGCAAACAACUUAGAAAAUAUUUCCCCAAAAUGGACAAUGCAAGUUCCUGGAUACGCAAUCCAUUUAAAGUACCUCAGUCUCUCCCAAUCCCUCCUCGGCCAGUGCGUGAGCAAGAGAAACUUUUAGAUCUCUCUUGUGACAGUGGGCUUGAAUUAAAGUUCGAAUGCAAACCUUUGGCAGACUUCUGGGUGCAAAGGAUGGAAGAUUACCCAUAACUGUCAAAACUAGCUGUCAAGUUUCUGAUGCCCUUCUCCACAACAUACCUUUGUGAGACUGGAUUCUCUGCUCUCAUGGCGAUGAAGACAGAGUACCCUCAGAGAUUAAAUGCUGAAAAUGACUUGCGACUGAAGCGCUCUCCAAUUUUCCCUGCCAUCAGUGAUUUGUGUGAUAAAAAGCAAGGACAUCCAUCACACUGAUAGCUUCCUAGCGACUGGAUGCCAUGACUAGAAUCCCCUUGUGCGCUACAGUUUCCCUGCGUUAUGGAGUCUUACCCUUUGAAGAGGAAGCUGCAGGUGAUCAGUAUGUCAAACAGGAGGAACUUCAGCAACAACGCUCUGAUGGCCAAGAGAAGCAGGAUUUGUGAACAGAUGGGCAGAGCUGAAACAGAUGGAAUCAUGUACUUGAUCAGGCCUUGGGGUGCCACGCAGAAGAAUUACCAAUGGUCCCUAUUGGGACUGUGUAUGGCUGCACUGCCCAACCUUAUACACCAGAGGGUCACAUAAACCUAAGCACAACCUUGUGUGUGCCAAACAGCUUCCACAUAUUUUAAUAAGAUUUAAAGUAACCUGUAUUGAUUUACAUUUUAAGUUCUCUUGUUUCAGAUGUAUUUAGAGAGGUUGUUUUUAUGUACGGUAUUGUCUGUUUACACUCUUGUGGAAACUAAAGCUGUAAACAUGAUGCCAAAACGCUAAUAAAUCAGACGUUAGU